rnacentral:rRNA from 1 species
CACGUAGGGGCGAGCGUUAUCCGGAUUCAUUGGGCGUAAAGCGCGCGCAGGCGGCCGCUCAAGCGGGACCUCUAAUCCCGGGGCUCAACCCCGGGCCGGGUCCCGAACUGGGCGGCUCGCGUCAGGUAGGGGGAGGCGGAAUUCCCGGUGUAGCGGUGGAAUGCGCAGAUAUCGGGAGGAACACCGACGGCGAAGGCAGCCUCCUGGGCCUCGACGGACGCUGAGGCGCGAAAGCCGGGGGAGCGAACAGGAUUAGAUACCCCUGUAGUCCCUGAGCGGGCUGGCAAGG